rnacentral:ncRNA from 1 species
GUAGAGUAAAUAUCAAGCGUUAAGUUUCACAGAAUGGGAUGUUGUCUGUGACCGAAAACAACAUGUUGCGGUUUGAUAUUGCAUCCACUA